rnacentral:rRNA from 1 species
UACGUAGGGGGCUAGCGUUGUCCGGAAUCAUUGGGCGUAAAGAGCGCGUAGGCGGCCAGAUAAGUCCGGUGUGAAAGUCAAAGGCUCAACCUUUGAAUGCCGCUGGAAACUGUCUGGCUAGAGUCCGGGAGGGGCGAGUGGAAUUCCUGGUGUAGCGGUGAAAUGCGCAGAUAUCAGGAGGAACACCGGUGGCGAAGGCGGGUCUCUGGGCCGAUACUGACGCUGAGGAGCGAAAGCGUGGGGAGCGAACAGG